rnacentral:rRNA from 1 species
ACUCCUACGGGAGGCAGCAGUGGGGAAUAUUGCACAAUGGGGAAACCCGUAGCAUGCAGCCAUGCCGCGUGUGUGAAGAAGGCCUUCGGGUUGUAAAGCACUUUCAGUAGGGAGGAAGGUAGUGUAGUUAACACCUGCAUAUUGAUCGUAUCCUACAGAAGAAGCACCGGCUAACUCCGUGCCAGCAGCCGCGGUAAUACGGAGGGUGCGAGCGUUAAUCGGAAUUACUGGGCGUAAAGCGCAUGCAGGCGGCCUGUUAAGUCAGAUGUGAAAGCCCGGGGCUUAACCUCGGAAUUGCAUUUGAAACUGGCAGGCUAGAGUCUUGUAGAGGGGUG